CUAAGUCGUAACGUACUUUGUUGUCGUUAAUUGUAGAUGACGAGCUUGUCUCUGUAUUUGUAUUUUUGUAUUCUAAAGAGUGGCGACGGGUAGAGUAACACGUGGUAACCUACCUCUUAGCAGGGAUAACAUUUAGGAAACAAGUAGCUAAUACCGUAUAACAUCAACAACCGCAUGGUUGUUGAUUGAAAGAUGGUUCUGCUAUCACUAAGAGAUGGACCCGCGGUGCAUUAGCUAGUUGGUAAGGUAAUGGCUUACCAAGGCAAUGAUGCAUAGCCGAGUUGAGAGACUGAUCGGCCACAAUGGGACUGAGACACGGCCCAUACUCCUACGGGAGGCAGCAGUAGGGAAUCUUCCACAAUGGGCGCAAGCCUGAUGGAGCAACGCCGCGUGUGUGAUGAAGGGUUUCGGCUCGUAAAACACUGUUAUAAGAGAAGAACGGCACUGAGAGUAACUGUUCAGUGUGUGACGGUAUCUUACCAGAAAGGGACGGCUAAAUACGUG
rnacentral:rRNA from 1 species